rnacentral:rRNA from 1 species
AUGACCUCAGUUCCAAAGGACAAGUUGGCUACUCUCAAGGCUUACAGGAGAGCAAAAGGGUUGUGUUAUAUAUGUGGUGAGCGAUGGGGCAAAGACCACAAGUGCAAUAAUACACUACAGCUGCAUGUGGUGCAGGAAUUGUUGGAAGUGUGUGCUACUAAUUCUGUAGACUCGGAUGAUAGUGAAGUCGAUCUGAUGGUCUUAUCUGCGGAAACACAAACAGCUGGCCCGGCUAACAGUGUUAUUCGACUCACUUGUCAAGUUGCAGGACAGGAAGUGAUCUUCUUACUGGACUCUGGCAGCUUGCAUUCAUUCCUUAGUGACAGAUUGGCAAGUCAGUUAGCAGGCCAGCAAAGGUUGAGCAAAAUGCAGUGGGUCCGAAUUGCAGGAGGGGGGCAGCUAGUGUGUUUUGCUUGGAUUCCUAAAUCUGGCUGGUCAGUAGGGGGGCAUCGAUUUGUUACUGAUUUUAAAAUCUUGCCUCUACAACAUUAUGAUGGUAUUAUUGGUAUGGAUUGGCUCUCAGCUCAAGGGACUAUGAGUGUCAAUUGGUUACAAAAGUGGUUAUCCUUUGAUUACAAGGACAGUAAGGUUGUUCUACAAGGAGAUCCUCCAUCUGAGUUUGAAUUCACUAUAGUGGAGUUACAGCUUAUUCGAGAAACACAAGAGACUAAAGUGACAGUACUUGAGGAUGUACCAGAGGAAAUUCAGCAAGUUAUUGCUUCGUUUGCAGAUAUCUUUGAGGAGUCUGCUGGCCUUCCUCCUCGUCGCUCCUGUGAUCACAAAAUACCGCUGGUGGAGGGAGCUCGUCAUGUUAACAUUAGACCAUACAGGUAUUCCCCUGAGCAAAAGACAGAAAUAGAACGACAAGUGAAAGAAAUGCUAGCAUCCGGUGUAAUUUUGCCUAGCACUAGUCCAUUUGCCUCCCCAAUCAUUUUGGUUAAGACAAAGGACGGCACAUGGCGACUCUGUGUUGAUUACAGACAACUGAAAAUGUUGACACUGAAGACUAAAUAUCCUCUGCCCAUGAUAGAUGAAUUGCUCGAUGAAUUAUCAGGCGCCUCAUGGUUUUCCAAAUUGGACCUUCGUGCUGGGUAUCAUCGGAUCCAUUUGGCUCCCGGGGAAGAAUACAAGACGGCCUUUCAUACACAUAAUGGUCACUAUGAGUUUAAUGUGGUAUCAUUUGGGCUGACGGGAGGGCCAUCUAUAUCCCAAGGAGAGAUGAACAUUACUCUAGCGCUUGUGGACCGUGUCUGUGCAGUCGUAUUCUUUGAUGAUAUACUGGUGUUUAGUGCUACCUUAGAGGAACAUGUGCAGCACCUCAAGCAAGUUUUGCAACUACUAAGGCAACAUCAGUGGAGAGUUAAAGAAUCAAAAUGUGCAUUCGCCCAACAUAGCAUAUCCUAUCUGGGCUUUGUGGUCAGUGGGAACGGAGUGUCAAUAGACCUAGCUAAGGUGCAAGCAGUACUUGAGUGGCCAGUGCCCCAAUCUAUUAAGGAGCUUCGAGGGUUUCUUGGACUUGCCGGGUACUACAGGAAAUUUGUGCGCAAUUAUGGUGUUAUCAGUCAGCCCUUGACUCAUCUCCUGCGCAAGAAUGUGCCCUUUAUAUGGUCUACAACAACACAGACUGCUUUUGAAGUGUUAAAAAAAGCUCUAACAUCAGCACUUGUACUUGCUUUGCCAGAUUUCAAGGUUCAGUUUGUGGUUGAAACAGAUGCUAGUGACACUGGGGUAGGUGCCAUGUUGUUAUAG